AUGUGCAUACCGAAGAAGAAUGGAGGAUUGAGGUUUAGAGACCUUCACAGUUUUAAUCUUGCUUUAUUAGCAAAACAGUGUUGGCGACUUCUCCAGAAUCCAGACUCUUUGUGUGCAAGAGUUCUUAGUGCAAAGUACUAUCCAGAUGGAAAAAUUCUUAAUGCGGGUCCAAAGAAAGGAUCAUCCUUCACGUGGCAGAGUAUUGUUUCGGGAAUUCAAACUUUU
rnacentral:rRNA from 1 species